UACGAAGGGGGGCUAGCGUUGUUCGGAUUUACUGGGCGUAAAGCGCACGUAGGCGGAUCGUUAAGUCGGGGGGUGAAAUCCUGGAGCUCAACUCCAGAACUGCCUUCGAUACUGGCGAUCUUGAGUCCGGAAGAGGUGAGUGGAACUCCUAGUGUAGAGGUGGAAUUCGUAGAUAUUAGGAAGAACACCAGUGGCGAAGGCGGCUCACUGGUCCGGUACUGACGCUGAGGUGCGAAAGCGUGGGGAGCAAACAGG
rnacentral:rRNA from 1 species